rnacentral:rRNA from 1 species
GACGAACCGUGCGAACGUUAUUCGGAAUCACUGGGCUUAAAGCGCGUGUAGGCGGGAAGGCACGUCGGGCGCUGAAAUCCCCCGGCUCAACCGGGGAAGUGGCGCCGAUACGACCUUCCUGGAGGGACGUAGGGGGACCUGGAACUUCCGGUGGAGCGGUGAAAUGCGUAGAUAUCGGAAGGAACACCUGUGGCGAAAGCGGCUCACUGGACCAUUACUGACGCUGAUGCACGAAAGCUAGGGGAGCAAACAGG